CCUACGGGAGGCUGCAGUGAGGAAUAUUGGUCAAUGGACGAGAGUCUGAACCAGCCAAGUAGCGUGAAGGAUGACUGCCCUAUGGGUUGUAAACUUCUUUUAUAUGGGAGUAAAAUGUUCCACGUGUGGGAUUUUGUAUGUACCAUAUGAAUAAAGAUCGGCUAACUCCGUGCCAGCAGCCGCGGUAAUACGGAGGUUCCGAGCGUUAUCCGGAUUUAUUGGGUUUAAAGGGAGCGUAGGUGGAUUUGUAAGUCAGUUGUGAAAGUUUGCGGCUCAACCGUAAAAUUGCAGUUGAAACUGGGAGUCUUGAGUACAGUAGAGGUGGGCGGAAUUCGUGGUGUAGCGGUGAAAUGCUUAGAUAUCACGAAGAACUCCGAUUGCGAAGGCAGCUCACUGGACUGCAACUGACACUGAGGCUCGAAAGUGUGGGUAUCAAACAGGAUUAGAUACCCUUGUAGUC
rnacentral:rRNA from 1 species